UCUGCUCUGUCUGCAGGUCUGCGUUUGGUCUCGUGUCUCUUCUGCUUCAGGUUUUGUGGACUUUCGAUUGUUGCCUUGUUCCUGUUUUGGAUCUCCGUGUGCUCCAUGAACUGGCUGCUUCACCUUUAGUCUGGGACCAAUUCUUCUUUUGUUUCAUGGUGAUGAUCACUGAGAAGACUAGUUCCUCUACUCCUGUGUCUGCACUUUGAAAUGAUAACAGUAUUAGCAUGACUGCGUAGAAAACACACGAAAUCUGACACGCCCACCAAACGGGAGAAAACAUACCUCGAAGCCCGUUGUUCCAAAGAAACAUGUCGUUCAAUCAGAAAACACUUGAUGGUCCCCGUGUCCGAACAGGAUUGGGUAUAAAAGCCUUGGUGUUUGCGGCACCUUCUGCUUGGAACCUUCUUCAGAACUCGUUGAAACUGACUGACAACUCUGAAGGAUCUGGAGCAGGUGAACAUUGGUCACAUGAUCAGCUGGUUUCACCACUGCAGAAGGGUGAGGAGUGAUUUGCUGAUGAAGAUUUUCAGAGAAACAAGUGAUGAGGAGGAAGCAGCUUCAUCAUGUCUCAGUUUGUCCACCAGAUGGAGACAAACACCAGGAAACCCUCAACACUGCAGGAGGAAAAUAAAACAAACCAUUCUGUUUGGUAAAUGGAAUUGGCAGCUUUAUUAAUAGUUUAUGCAUAUUUAGUCAUUUGGUUGGUAUAAAGCUGUAAAGUACAAAAGACCAACAGCACGCGGAGCUGAGAGAAGAAGAAGAUGAAGAAGAGGAGAGAGAAAGUUCUGUCUCGUCCUGCGGUCUGUGAAGGCCUGACGGCGGCGUCCUGAACAGACGAUCAGAGGACACGCCGCGAUUGGACAUCUGGAGCCGCCACUCAAACCUGCAUUCAUUAACCUCCUCUGUUAAUUAAUUAGUGACACGUCAGGUUCAAUUAGGAGCAAUUAACGAUGCGGAAUGAUGUUAAUCGACUCUGAUCACGUCGCCUGUCAGACCUGACCGGGGGCAGUGCGGCCUGUCAGACGAGCACGAGGGCCUCGGAGAAUCAGCAUUCAUGAUUUCACUUUAAAUCUUUAAUUACUUUUUCUCAUUAAUACAAUCAAUCAAUAAUAAAAUCUGGUGUUUCAUUAAAAAAGUGAGACUGAAACUUUGUUCUUCUUGUUCUCACCUGAUGUUUUCUCAGGCAGAAACAUAAAGAGAGAAUCCACAAAGAAGAAACUCAACGAUUUCCCCUCGUCCGGUGGAAACAGGAAAUGACUUCAGACUGAAACAGCCUGCACUGCAGUGAACGCAGCGUGUCGAGUUCAUUGUCUCCAGUUUCUGCCUGUUUCACUCUGCUGGUUGGACGUCAGGGCUCAGCUCACGAGGAGUGACGAUGUUGGUGUUAUCACCAGAAGAGACCAGAACAUAUUUGAACACUAUUUUAAAGAAAUAUUGGGGGUCUGAGGCUCUGAGGAUCUGGGGGGUCUGGGGGUCUGAG